rnacentral:rRNA from 1 species
CCUACGGGUGGCAGCAGUGGGGAAUAUUGGGCAAUGGGCGCAAGCCUGACCCAGCAACGCCGCGUGCAGGAUGAAGGCUUUCGGGUUGUAAACUUCUUUUGUCAGGGAAGAGUAGAAGACGGUACCUGUCGUAUAAGACUCGGCUAACCACGUGCCAGCACCCGCGGUAAGACGUAGGUGGCAAGCGUUGUCCGGCAUUACUGGGUGUAAAUGUCGUGUAGUCUGGUUGACAAGUCAGAUGUGAAAUCCUUCGGCUUAAACGCAGAACUGCCUUUGACACUGUUGAUCUUGAGUAAUGGAGAGGCAGGCGGAAUUCCUAGUGAAGCGGUGAAAUGCGUAGAUAUAAGGAGGAACACCAGAGGCGAAGGCGGUCUGCUGGACAGCAACUGACGGUGAGGCGCGAAAGCGUGGGGAGCAAACAGGAUUAGAUACCCUUGUAGUC